GCCCGAGUGGCGAAAUUGGUAGACGUGCUCGUUUCAGGUGCGAGUGCCGCAAGGCAUGGGGGUUCGAGUCCCUUCUCGGGUA
rnacentral:tRNA from 1 species